rnacentral:lncRNA from 1 species
AAUUACAGGGUUCAUGCCUGGCUUUUUACCUGGGUGCCAUGGAUUUGAACUCAUGUUCUCCUUGUGAAGACACUCUCAUACCCACCAAGCCAAGUUAUGUCCCCUCUAUGUGACUUUUGAAGUAAGCCGGUGAUAAUGUUUUACAUAUAUUUGAUCAGCAGUGUUAGCCUUACCAUGAACCUCUCUUUACAUUCUCCCCAUGCCUUUCCUGAUUUGUUUAGGGAAGAAAAUAAACAUGGUGAAUGAAAGAACUAAACAGUUCAAGAAAGCUGGUGUCCCCUUUAGUGUCUCACCAGGUUCUUCAGUGGGGAGCAAAUAUAGAUUGCCCUAUAGGUGAGAACUUGGAAGACAUCUCCAGGGGCAACUACAUCUAUAGGUCGAUGAUACAAAAAAUAACUCAAACCAUACCCUGGGAAAUUGUGAAUAGGAACCACGUAUGGAAUCUAUGUGGGUAUGGUCUUGUCAACAGGAGACCUGUCAUUCCAGGUUCAUUUCCUUUUGUAGAGAGUUCAACAAAUGUUUAACGAGUGCCUGUUAUUUGAUAGAUGCCUUCCAGGUAUCUGGGGACCCCAGUAAAGGCCACACCUGGGUAGAACUUUCAGUCUGGUUAAUUACCACACUGCCAGCCUACUGCCUUGGGACUUGUUCCCUGUCAGAGUUGCCCAGUUGGGAAUUAGCAGGCCUGGCUCCUAUGUGGAUAGUAAAUCUGGUGCUCUUAGAUGGCAAGUUCCUCAACAGCUGGAGGGCAGGAUGGUGAUUAUUAAUGAUAAAAUUAGAGUCAAGAGAGGCUCAGGAUGCCUGGCCUGCAGCUGCUUGCUGUGUGGUGUGGUGAUGCAGGGACCCAGGUCAGCAGUGAAGUGUCACUAUCAGCGCUGCUUCUGCUAUCCACCUUGUCAUGUUCUCGAGCCACCUGAUACAGAGGGAGCAGGGCCAUCUCCCCAGCCUUCUCCUUGUCCUCACUGGCUUUGUCAACAAGUGUUUUGGAAGGGCCCUCAUCCUUGCAGCUUGCUCAAGCCCUUCACAGCCAGGUGUCCUGCUGCUUUCAAAAAGGAUGAGAACAACUUACCAGACAACUGUGGCCAUGGCAAAGCAGCAGCGAGAAAGGAGCAGGCAUCCAUGGAGCAGAAUCUCCACACUGCUGAGAUCCGAGGUAAACCUGUGGUCUCUGCACGCUCCAGUGGGGUUGACUGUUUCUUGCAGACCAGGCCAUGAUGGUUUGGUUUACUACCAUAAGGCCUCAGGAGCAACAUCAGGGAAAAUGUCACUCAGCUCCAGAUGCACCUGUGCCCUUUGUCACACACUACAGGACAGGAGCUUAGGGAUAUCAGUCACCUCUUUGUGGCCCAUGUCUUAGGGCAAGACAUGUUUGUUUUGGAAACCAGGAUGUGUGGCCGGAGCAGUGCUUGCUGACUGCCAGGGCUUGGGACCUUUCUCCUUCCAGCAGAAGAAACACCAGAGGAAACCCAUCACAGUUAUCCGGGCCUGAUGGCUAGCAGCGAGGGCGCUUGCCUCUCUCUGGCCACACCCACGACACUAUCUCUGCAGUGAGGAGUUCACCAGGAUGCACUUGAAUGGCUGUGUUCUUGUGUUUUUUCAGGGGGAUUCUUUGAUACUCUGUAAUAUUGACAAUACACGAAUGAUAAAAUCUCCCCACAGAUAGUUCAGCUAAUUGCUCCUUCUAGGUAAAGGAUGGCCCCAUUUCUGGGUCUGUCUGAUCAUGACUUUUCAUUUUCUGCCAUAAAUGAACCUAAUUUGCAAAUGAAAAAUUUCAGCGAAGCAUCAGUUGCCUGCAAGGGAAUUAAGGCUGGAACCUUUGGAAGGGCUCAGCCGAACACACAAUCACAUUUUAAACAAAAGACUUAUGAUCUUAAUUCACGGUUAAAGUAACAAUUGCUCUCAAAUAGUACUUAGUAUUUGAAAGGCUCAGGCAGUCCGAUAAUAGUGAUCAAGAGCAGUUAAACUUGCUCCGAGCUAAGAAAAACAAAAACAAAUAGUGUUUGUCAAAACAUGCAUAGUGUAUCCCGUCUGUAGGGCAAAGUUUUGCUCAGAUUACCCCCUCAUGUUCCUGUUUAGUGUCAAGGGGGAAAAGCAAUUCUUGCCUGGGUCCAGUCUGUGAGGCUGGGGAGCUGAGUUCUAGUCCUUGGCCCAGCUAUUGAGCUGUUUAAGUCAUAUCAAAAUGUAAAGGCUGUGUGUGUUUCGUUCAGGAACCUAAAUCAUUGAGGCGGGUAGUGAACCCGCUGCUAGGAUUUAUU